ACUACUGGAUAUAAGAUGGUCUUUGGCACGGGCAUAGCUCUGACAGUUGAACCAAAAGAAAAAAAGGAACCUGAGUUUUACAAGGUUGGCACUGAUGGUGAAGAAUCCUGCCUGGCCACUCGCUUUACAGUUCAAAAUGUGACUGACAAUUUUUGGCCACUUAAAGACCAAAACCAAGCAGGAGCAGUUCGUUUCUCAGGCGAGGAAUAUUACAGCAGGUUGAUAUUGGACACCGAUAACUGCAGUGAACCUGACGUUGCAUGCAGCACAGCCAAGACUGAAAGUGGAGGUGGUUUCCUUUCAGAUGCCAAGACAAACUUUUUGGCAUUCGGCAUCUUCUGGUUGCGGGUUCUCUUUUUGAAGACCGUUGCGUUCAACAUCUUGAUGACGCUGAAAUUCUGGAUGGCCUAGACUGGAUGCCUUUUGGGAAUUUGGUGAUACAAUCCCUAAUUGGAAAGACACGGAUUGGAUUUUUGUGCUGUCUACGUGAAGAAAGUGGAAUGUUCUUUGUAUGAAAUGGCAACACGGUUGUCGAAAUGCAAUGUAAUGCAGUUCUUGUUUGCUCAUUUAUGAGCUCUUACCUUUUACUAUGCUAAAAUGCUUACUAAUCAAUUCAAUCCAUAUAUACAACAUGCUUUUUUUUUAUUUUAAAUAUGCAUGCUUUUAACAAUAAACUUCUGUCACAAUGUAUACUCACAUCUAGACAUUCGAGUGCUUGUUAAGUCUGAGUUAAGACAUUCAGUUACCAGCACAUUUUUUUCCUGUGUAUAAUUAUUAUUAUUAUUUUAACUAAAUCCUGUAUUUUCAUUUACAUAUCAUCUUUCAUUUGUAUUUCCAUAUCCACUGCGGAAUAUAUGUAUGAUUUGAGGUUGAUGCUAAGAUGUAUGCACCUACAAAUAUUGUAUAAUGUUUAUAUAUGGCUUUAUUUGUAUAGAUUACCAUUCAUUUAUAUUAAGAAUCUGUGUUUUUGCACAUUUAAAUAAAUCAUAAAUGCAUGAAAUAA